rnacentral:lncRNA from 1 species
GGAGGAGCUUCAGAAAAAGCUGGAUGAAGAGGUGAAGAAGCGGCAAAAGCUAGAACCAUCCAGGAUUGGGCUAGAGAGGCAGCUGGAGGAGAAGGCUGAAGAGUGCCACCGACUGCAGGAGCUGCUGGAGAAGAGAAAGGGGGAGGUCCAGCAGAGUGCCAAGGAGCUUCAGAACAUGAAGCUCCUGCUGGGCCAGGAAGAAGGACUACGACAUGGGCUGGAGACCCAGGUGAAGGAGCUACAGCUCAAGCUGAAACAUAGCCAGAAUCUUGAUCCCGGAAAGGAGAGUCUCCUGAAGGACUUGUUAGAGACCCGGGAACUUCUGGAAGAGCUCUUAGAGGG